rnacentral:rRNA from 1 species
ACGAACGCUGGCGGCUGCCUAAUACAUGCAAGUCGAACAGUGGCGGACGGGUGAGUAACGCGUGAGCAACCUGCCUAUGACAGUGGGAUAGCCUCGGGAAACCGGGAUUAAUACCGCAUAGGCAUAGAUGGGAUCGCGACUGAGUAGCUAGUUGGUGAGAUAACAGCCCACCAAGGCGACGAUCAGUAGCCGGGAUGAGAGGAUGAACGGCCACAUUGGAACUGAGACACGGUCCAAACUCCUACGCGAUGCAGCAGUGGGGAAUAUUGCACAAUGGGGGAAACCCUGAUGCAGCGACGCCGCGUGAACGAAGAAGGUAUUCGUAUAGUAAAGUUCUGUACUAUGGGAAGCAGUACCAUAGAAGAAAGCUCCGGCUAAAUACGUGCCAGCAGCCGCGGUAAUAC